AGCAGCCGCGGUAAUUCCAGCUCCAAUAGCGUAUAUUAAAGUUGUUGCAGUUAAGAAGCUCGUAGUUGAAUUUCGGGAUCAAAGAAUCGGUCAUGCCUUGGUAUGUACUGGUUUUAUUGGUUCUCACCUUCUAAAGAACCAUGAUGUCAUUCAUUUGAUGUUAUGGGGAAUUAGGACUGUUACCUUGAAAAAAUUAGAGUGUUUAAAGUAAGCUCACGCUUGAAUACAUUAGCAUGGAAUAAUGAAAUAGGACGUUUGAUUCUAUUUUGUUGGUUUCUAGGAUCGACGUAAUGAUUAAUAGGGAUAGUUGGGGGCAUUAGUAUUCAAUUGUCAGAGGUGAAAUUCUUGGAUUUAUUGAAGACUAACUACUGCGAAAGCAUUUGCCAAGGAUGUUUUCAUUAAUCAAGAACGAAAGUUAGGGGAUCGAAGACGAUCAGAUACCGUCGUAGUCUUAACCAUAAACUAUGCCGACUAGGGAUCGGAUGAUGUUAAUUUUUUAAUGACUCAUUCUGGCGCCUUA
rnacentral:misc_RNA from 1 species